rnacentral:rRNA from 1 species
AUUGAACGCUGGCGGCAUGCCUUACACAUGCAAGUCGAACGGCAGCACGGGUGCUUGCACCUGGUGGCGAGUGGCGGACGGGUGAGUAAUACAUCGGAACAUGUCCUGUAGUGGGGGAUAGCCCGGCGAAAGCCGGAUUAAUACCGCAUACGAUCUACGGAUGAAAGCGGGUGACCGUCGGGCCUCGCGCUAUAGGGUUGGCCGAUGGCUGAUUAGCUAGUUGGUGGGGUAAAGGCCUACCAAGGCAACGAUCAGUAGCUGGUCUGAGAGGACGACCAGCCACACUGGGACUGAGACACGGCCCAGACUCCUACGGGAGGCAGCAGUGGGGAAUUUUGGACAAUGGGCGAAAGCCUGAUCCAGCAAUGCCGCGUGUAUGAAGAAGGCCUUCGGGUUGUAAAGCACUUUUGUCCGGAAAGAAAUCCUUGGCCCUAAUACGGUCGGGUGAUGACGGUACCGGAAGAAUAAGCACCGGCUAACUACGUG